GUAACACGUGGGCAACCUGCCUGUAAGACUGGGAUAACUCCGGGAAACCGGAGCUAAUACCGGAUAACAUUUUCUCUUGCAUAAGAGAAAAUUGAAAGAUGGUUUCGGCUAUCACUUACAGAUGGGCCCGCGGUGCAUUAGCUAGUUGGUGAGGUAACGGCUCACCAAGGCAACGAUGCAUAGCCGACCUGAGAGGGUGAUCGGCCACACUGGGACUGAGACACGGCCCAGACUCCUACGGGAGGCAGCAGUAGGGAAUCUUCCGCAAUGGACGAAAGUCUGACGGAGCAACGCCGCGUGAGUGAUGAAGGCUUUCGGGUCGUAAAACUCUGUUGUUAGGGAAGAACAAGUACAAGAGUAACUGCUUGUACCUUGACGGUACCUAACCAGAAAGCCACGGCUAACUACGUGCCAGCA
rnacentral:rRNA from 2 species